rnacentral:rRNA from 2 species
AUGGCUCAGGACGAACGCUGGCGGCGUGCUUAACACAUGCAAGUCGAGCGGUAAGGCUCCUUCGGGAGUACACGAGCGGCGAACGGGUGAGUAACACGUGAGCAAUCUGCCCUUCACUCUGGGAUAAGCCUGGGAAACUGGGUCUAAUACCGGAUAUGACUUCGGAAUGCAUGUUCUGGAGUGGAAAGUUCUGGCGGUGAAGGAUGAGCUCGCGGCCUAUCAGCUUGUUGGUGGGGUAAUGGCCUACCAAGGCGACGACGGGUAGCCGGCCUGAGAGGGUGACCGGCCACACUGGGACUGAGACACGGCCCAGACUCCUACGGGAGGCAGCAGUGGGGAAUAUUGGACAAUGGGCGAAAGCCUGAUCCAGCAACGCCGCGUGAGGGAUGACGGCCUUCGGGUUGUAAACCUCUUUCAGCAGGGACGAAGCGCAAGUGACGGUACCUGCAGAAGAAGCACCGGCCAACUACGUGCCAGCAGCCGCGGUAAUACGUAGGGUGCGAGCGUUGUCCGGAAUUAUUGGGCGUAAAGGGCUCGUAGGCGGUUUGUCGCGUCGGGAGUGAAAACUCAGGGCUCAACCCUGUUCGUGCUUCCGAUACGGGCAAACUAGAGGUAGGCAGGGGAGAACGGAAUUCCUGGUGUAGCGGUGGAAUGCGCAGAUAUCAGGAGGAACACCGGUGGCGAAGGCGGUUCUCUGGGCCUAUUCUGACGCUGAGGAGCGAAAGCAUGGGGAGCGAACAGGAUUAGAUACCCUGGUAGUCCAUGCCGUAAACGUUGGGCGCUAGGUGUGGGGCUCGUUCCACGAGUUCCGUGCCGCAGCUAACGCAUUAA